GUGUCAGCCGCCGCGGUAAAACCAGCACCUCAAGUGGUCAGGAUGAUUAUUGGGCCUAAAGCAUCCGUAGCCUGCUCUGUAAGUUUUCGGUUAAAUCUGUAUGCUCAACAUACAGGCCGCCGGGAAUACUGCAGAGCUAGGGAGUGGGAGAGGUAGACGGUACUCGGGAGGAAGUGGUAAAAUGCUUUGAUCUCUCGAUGACCACCUGUGGCGAAGGCGGUCUACCAGAACACGUCCGACGGUGAGGGAUGAAAGCUGGGGGAGCAAACCGGAUUAGAUACCCGGGUAGUCCCAGCUGUAAACUAUGCAAACUCAGUGAUGCAUUGGCUUGUGGCCAAUGCAGUGUUGCAGGGAAGCCGUUAAGUUUGCCGCCUGGGAAGUACGUACGCAAGUAUGAAACUUAAAGGAAUUGGCGGGGGAGCACCACAAGGGGUGAAGCCUGCGGUUCAAUUGGAGUCAACGCCAGAAAUCUUACCCGGAGAGACAGCAGAAUGAAGGUCAAGCUGAAGACUUUACCAGACAAGCUGAGAGGUGGUGCAUGGCCGUCGCCAGCUCGUGCCGUGAGAUGUCCUGUUAAGUCAGGUAACGAGCGAGAUCCCUGCCUCUAGUUGCCACCAUUACUCUCAGGAGUAGUGGGGCGAAUUAGCGGGACCGCCGCAGUUAAUGCGGAGGAAGGAAGGGGCCACGGCAGGUCAGUAUGCCCCGAAACUCUGGGGCCACACGCGGGCUGCAAUGGUAAUGACAAUAGGUUCCGAACCCGAAAGGAAGAGGCAAUCCAUAAACAUUACCACAGUUAUGACUGAGGGCUGCAACUCGCCCUCACGAAUAUGGAAUCCCUAGUAACUGCGUGUCAUUAUCGCGCGGUGAAUACGUCCCUGCUCCUUGCACACACUGCCCGUC
rnacentral:rRNA from 1 species